AGCCAAAGCAGAUGGCUGAGCCAUGGCCUCAUAGGGUUCCAGAUGGAGGGGGGCUCCCUGGAACAUCUCAAGAGCUGAGAGGGGCUGUCUAGAUCAGAGGCCCUGGAGCUGGAAGAAGCAGUUGCUCAUCCUGGCUAUAGGAUCCUGUCAACAGCUCAGAGAGGAGAUACAGUGCCUGCUCCCCAUCUACAGCAUGAUUAUCAAUACCGCAUGCAACCCCUCAAAGACAUCAAGUAAUGGCUGAAGCUGAGUCAGAGUAGCAGCUCUGAUAUUCCAAGAGCCCUGCACUCAGCAGCCCACCACACAAUCAUGCCAAGGAAUUCAACAUCAGCUGGCUUUGGUAAGGUAUGUCUGUGAGUUGCAGCUGUCAGAGUGCUACUCUGGCUUGCUUUUAAUGUCUUCAUGUAAGUGUUGAUUGAAUUCAAUUUUGUUCAAGAAAUGUGGCAGAUGGUCCUGUGAGGCUUACAAGUGUGGGCAAUGGUCUUCAAAUGGUGCUGACUUUAGUGCCUGCUGAUAGUCUGAACCAGCCACAUGGAAAGUGGCUUCUGUACUUCUCCUCUGAGGUACACAGGGCUAAACACCAUUUAUGAAGGUACCUGGCCCAGGCUUGACCACAAAUAAUCAGGAUGGUACACUCAGAUGAUCCAUCUUGGC
rnacentral:lncRNA from 1 species